rnacentral:rRNA from 1 species
UACAGAGGGUGCGAGCGUUGUCCGGAAUCACUGGGCGUAAAGGGCGCGUAGGCGGCGCGGUAAGCGUGCGGUGAAAGCCCGGGGCUCAACUCCGAGUCGGCCGUGCGAACUGGGCUCACUGGAGCAUAGUAGAGGCAGGUGGAAUUCCGGGUGUAGCGGUGGAAUGCGUAGAGAUCCGGAAGAACACCGGUGGCGAAGGCGGCCUGCUGGGCUAUGGCUGACACUGAGGCGCGACAGCGUGGGGAGCAAACAGG